rnacentral:rRNA from 1 species
GGUCUGGCGGCGAGUGGCGAACGGGUGAGUAAUAUAUCGGAACGUACCCAGUAGCGGGGGAUAACUACUCGAAAGAGUAGCUAAUACCGCAUACGCCCUACGGGGGAAAGGGGGGGAACUCUUCGGAGACCUCUCACUAUUGGAGGAGCCUGCGUUGGAUUAGCUUGUUGGUGAGGUAAAGGCUCACCAAGGCGACGAUCCAUAGCUGGUCUGAGAGGACGAUCAGCCACACUGGAACUGAGACACGGUCCAGACUCC